AAUAGGUUUCUUCAUUUUUCCAGUGACUCAAAGUUCUUUUUCCAGUUUGCUCAUAAAUAACUUGAAUAAUUUGGGUCAACAUGUUUUUCUAAGGUGUUGGAACCAGUGUUUAAAAUGGGAAAAGACCACGGCUUCACGGCCCUGGGGUGGUUCUGACAACAAAGAAAAGAAAUGCAGUGGGCUUAAGUAACAUGCCCACGGUCAGAGUUGGAACUCACAUCAUCUGGCCCCAAACCCAGUGCUCUUUCCAAGAUGCCAUGCAGCUUUUCCUUCUGGAUGGCUCAUCUCCUUUCUCAUCUAUAAAACCACUCUUUCUUCUGAACUUCAAACAGCUGUUGGUCGUCUCCAGUGAGACAAGAUACAAGAGAGUUCCUUGUGGAUGACUCCACAGUGUAAGGCCAGGUCAUUAACAUGGGAAGGAGAGAAUCAGGUUCAUACGACUCUGAGACAAAGAAAGAGGAAAGAAGCGGACUUGAAUCUCCAUGUUGACAGGUAAGAAGAGACACUUUAUGGCCCAAAUGAUAAAGUAGAGUGUUCAAACUACUUUAGUUAAGUGGCCCAUCCAGCGGAGUACCAAAGAAACACUCUUCUGAAGGCGCCUGUUAAGUGAUAU